UGAAAAGUGAAAGUGAAGUCACUCAGUUGAGUCCGACUCCUAGCGGCCCCAUGGACUGCAGCCCACCAGGCUCCUCUGUCCAUAGGAUUGUUCAGGCAAGAGCGCUGGAGUGGGCUGCCUUUGAAUUAAAGCUGCUGCUGCUGCUAAGUCGCUUCAGUUGUGUCCGGAAUUAAAGCCGGGGGUCCUCAGUUCCUUGAGGGGAUGGAAAUAACUCUGUAUCUUCCCUGUAGUAGUGUUUAAAUGACUGUAUACAUUUGAUAGGGCUUCCCUCGUGAUUCAGCUGGUAAAGAAUCUGCCUGCAAUGUGGGAGACCUGGGUUCAAUCCCUGGGUCAGGAAGAUCCCCCAGAGAAGGGAAUGGCAACCCACUCCAGUAUUCUGGCCUGGAGAAUUCCAUGCACUGUCCAUGGGGCUGCAGAGUUGGGCAUGACCACAUUUGACAGAGUUCAUAGAAUGAUGCUCCCUGGAAAGUUGGAUUUUACUUAUGUAAAUUAUAUCUCAAUAAACCUGCCUUGGGCUUCCCUGGUGGCUCAGACGGUUAAGAAUCUGUCUGCAAUGCAGGAGACCCGUGUUUGAUCCCUGGGUCAGGAAGAUGCCCUGGAGAAGGGCAUGGCAACCCACUCCAGUAUUCUUGCCUGGAGAACUCCAUGGACAGAGGAGCCUGGUAGGCUACGGUCCAUGGGGUUGCAGAGUUGAACACAACUGAGCAACUAACACUUUCACUUUCAAACCUGCCUUAACAACAAAAAAUAAAAACACUGAGUGCCCUUAGCAGCCCCCGGCUGAGGCAGUGUUGGGGAUGGCAGGGCACCUGGAGUGAGGGAGGCUUUACUUUGGGGCAGUCAGUUCCCCUUUGCAGUCUCUAUCUGUUGAUCACCAGGUCUAAGCUAAAUGGCUGGUUUUCAUAGUUUUGGUUGUGGAACCCUUAUUAAACCAAAUCUAACAGGGAAAUUCAAAGUUAAAGGAAAAAAAAAACAGAGCAGAGCAAGGCCCUUGCAAACCUUGUGUCAUCUCAGUCUUACCUGUAUCAUAUCUCAGUCCCUCAAAGAAGACUGGUAUUGCUAGAGACUCCAUCCUACAGAGAAAAUCUGAAUCACAACACUCAGGGCUCUGCAGAGCAGUUUAAAAGCUGGUAGACUAAGCAAUCUGUGGGGUAGCAGUUUUCCAUUUUGUUGACUAUAUUAAUCACAUUAGAAUACAUUUUAAUUGUAAUCCAGUAACAAACACACAUGCACAUACAUACUUCAUGAAAUAAUACUUAACCUACUACAUGUGAUUCAUACUCGAAUUUAUUAUUUCAUUUUCUUCUUUAUAUGCUGGUUGUGACCCGUUCAACUUUACAAUUCACUGCUGCGUCUCAACCUGCCAUCUGCAAAACACUUCCUCUUAAGGAAGUUGCCAGCUGAAGAGUUUACGACUGCCCUGUCAGGGUAAUGAAAAUGUUCCGGAAUGGUGGUGAUGGUUGCCUAACCUUGUGAAUAUACUAAGUACCACUGAACUGCACACUUUGAAAUGGUGAAUUUUAAAGAAAUAAUUACAUCGAAAAGAGAUGAUUAAAAUCCCUUUCGGACAGCCAAACUAAAACUUGUCAUAGUUAACAGAAUGACCACGUUAUGUUACCUAAGAAAAUGGGGACCUCGUUCCGUACUAUCAUACUUUAUAUGUAUUAACUAACACAUCUAACUCUUUAAAAACUGAGAUAGUUCCAUUGUUUGACUCAGAUCCAAGAAAUGGAAACACUUAGAGGUCAAGUAACUUUAACCAAGGUCACACAGUGGAAAGCUAAGGUAGAAACUUUGACCUGCCAGGCUCUUUAUGUUCUUGCCCACUCCAGAUUGUGUUUUCAUCCCCAGGAGGCAAAUACUAGAUAGCUGGCAGCAAUCACCAUGCCUUCGUUUUCCUCACCUCAAGCCCUAGCAGUGCCUGGCAAUGACAGUCAAUUACACUUAUUUCUCAUCUGUUCAUCAAGUAUUUGUGCUUCUACAGUGUACUAGGCACUGGGAGCACAGUCCCAAGCAAGACCAAGUUCCUAGGGACCAAAAACACAUCACUUCAGGUUGUAAUCAUCACUGUUAAUGAAAAAAGAGAAGUUAGGGAAGCCUGUCUGAAAAAACCCUAGUGAAGGAACAGGUCAGAUCUGGCAGUGAAAACAGAAGCUUUGAGAGAGAACAACUCUGAUCAAAGCAAGAGCAAGGAGGUAGAUAUGGCUUGAGCAGACUGAGGGGAGGACAUGAGGAUGCCCAAGCAGGUGCUACUGGGUCUUGCAGGCCAGAGUAAGAAACUUGGAUUUUCCUGAGGCAGGGAAAAAAGAGCCUCUUGAGGGUUUUGAGCAGUACUAUGAUCUGGCAAGACUCCCUGGUAGCUGAGUUGAUAAAGAAUCCACCUGCCAAUGCAGCAGACCUGGGAUGGAUCCCUGGGUUGGGAGGAUCCCCUGGAGAAGGGAACGGCAACCCCCUUCAGAUUCUUGCCUGAAAAAAUCCUGUAGACAGAGCAGCUGGGUGGACUACAGUCCACGGGGUCACAGAGAGGCAGACACAACUUAGCAACUGAACUACCACCACGCUCUGACAGGCUACUGGGAACAUGCCUUGUGUGCAUGAGUACUGGAGGGUGAACAACGCUGUCACUAUCAACUCAAUUUUGAGUGAAUGUAACGGGCGCCAAAUGAGACUGAGACGCGAUCGGAGGACACAUGCAACUUGGCAUGCCUUUUAGACACCCAAAUGAACUUAUCAACCGGGUAGCUGGAUAGGGGUCUAGGUCAAGGGGAAGUUUAACUGGAAAGUUUGACACAUCAACAAGAAGAUAUUUAAAGGACCUAGGGAUUCUUUUGUCUUCGGCAGCUUUCUCUCCAGACUCCCAUCACAUCACAUUUUAAAGCAUCUAGGAGAGAUAAAAGAGCUAGUGAGGCAGGAGGAAACCUAGUGUUCCAUCUAGAAGGUAAAGUGUUUCAGCAAAGGAGUCAGUAAGUCAAAGUCUGCCACCAGGGCUAGUGAAGGAUGGAAACUGAUCGCUCAUUUUGGCAAAAUGAAGGCUGCUGCUCACUAUAACAAGCAGUUUAGUCAAGUGGAGGAAUGAAAGCCUACUGAAUAAAUGAGACAAGUGAAUAAAUGGAUUGAAUGAGUGAAUGGCUAGACAAGUAUCCCCAAAUGAUGUUCAUGGGUUUGUUCAUAUUGGAAGGGGUAAGUCAGGAGUAACCACCUUAGAUACUGGGUAUUCUGUGCAUUACCGAAUUAUAAAAGCAAAAGGAAGUCACAUGGAAGAUCCUUGAAAGCUCUCUUAAGUUGCCCCAUACACAGAGAAGAUGUGAGUGCUACUGUUUUACCUUAUCAGCUUCCAAGUUCUCUCAAGUUAUAUCACUCUCCUCAAUCUUAAAAUUAAAAUAUGGCCUGUAGGGAGCCAAAUACCACACAUACACACCAGACACCACCCAUACCAAUCACCCCACCCCACACAUGCACACAUGUGCCUCUGAUAGAGGGAGACUGCUCCAGUCAUUUUUUAGCCUUCAUUCACUUCCUGGAAUGUGCCAGACUCCUUCUGCCUUGGGGUAGACAUACUGCGUGCUCUGCCUGAAAUUCUUCCCUUGCCCUAUGCCUGGCGGACCUGCCCAUUAUAUACGUUCCAGUCUCACUGUGUACUUCCCUCUCAUACACUUCCCAUAUUAAUUACUAAAUAAAGAUGCCAGCACAGUUUCAUCACCUUGUAUUUCCCUUGCCCAAUCCUCCCUCUGCCAGAGCUGCCAAGGGGGUAAAAACACAGGCCCUGCAAGAUUCCCAAGGCGGGCCUCCUGCAGUGUUCAGGUGGUAAUAAAAGUGAGUG
ensembl:lncRNA